rnacentral:rRNA from 1 species
UACGUAGGUGGCGAGCGUUGUCCGGAAUUACUGGGUGUAAAGGGAGCGCAGGCGGGGAGCCAAGUUGGAUGUGAAAUGCCGCAGCUCAACUGCGGAGCUGCGUCCAAAACUGGUUCUCUUGAGUGAAGUAGAGGUAGGCGGAAUUCCUAGUGUAGCGGUGAAAUGCGUAGAUAUUAGGAGGAACACCAGUGGCGAGGGCGGCCUACUGGGCUUUAACUGACGCUGAGGCUCGAAAGCGUGGGGAGUAAAC